rnacentral:rRNA from 1 species
GACGAACGCUGGCGGCGUGCUUAACACAUGCAAGUCGAACGGAAAGGCCCUGCUUUUGUGGGGUGCUCGAGUGGCGAACGGGUGAGUAACACGUGAGUAACCUGCCCUUGACUUUGGGAUAAUUUCAGGAAACUGGGGCUAAUACCGGAUAGGAGCUCCUGCUGCAUGGUGGGGGUUGGAAAGUUUCGGCGGUUGGGGAUGGCCUCGCGGCUUAUCAGCUUGUUGGUGGGGUAGUGGCUUACCAAGGCUUUGACGGGUAGCCGGCCUGAGAGGGUGACCGGCCACAUUGGGACUGAGAUACGGCCCAGACUCCUACGGGAGGCAGCAGUGGGGAAUAUUGCACAAUGGGCGGAAGCCUGAUGCAGCAACGCCGCGUGCGGGAUGACGGCCUUCGGGUUGUAAACCGCUUUCGCCUGUGACGAAGCGUGAGUGACGGUAAUGGGUAAAGAAGCACCGGCUAACUACGUG